rnacentral:rRNA from 1 species
GACGAACGCUGGCGGCGUGCCUAAUACAUGCAAGUAGGACGCAGUUGCGAACGGGUGAGUAACGCGUAGGUAACUGCCUCUUAGAGGGGGAUAACUAUUGGAAACGAUAGCUAAUACCGCAUACUAGUAGAUGGACCUGCGUUGUAUUAGCUAGUAGGUAGGGUAAUGGCCUACCUAGGCGACGAUACAUAGCCGAACUGGUAGGGGGAGCGACCACACGGAGACUGGAACAGAGCCCAGACUCCAACGGGAGGCAGCAGUAGGGAGUAUUAGGAUAUGGGGGUGAGCCUGACCGUGCAACGCCGAGGGAGUGAAGAGGAUGUUGGGUUCAUAGAGCUCAGUUGUUAAGGAAGCGGUACUUAAUCAAAAAGGGACGGCUAACUACGUGCCAGCAGCCGCGGUAAUAC